AGAGUUUGAUCAUGGCUCAGAUUGAACGCUGGCGGCAUGCCUAACACAUGCAAGUCGAGCGGCAGCAUGAUGUGUAGCAAUACACAUUGAUGGCGAGCGGCGGACGGGUGAGUAAUGCAUAGGGAUCUGCCCAGUAGCGGGGGACAACCCGGAGAAAUCCGGGCUAAUACCGCAUACGCCCUACGGGGGAAAGGGGAGGACCGAAAGGCUUCCCACUAUUGGAGGAACCUAUGCCCGAUUAGCUAGUUGGUGAGGUAACGGCUCACCAAGGCGACGAUCGGUAGCUGGUCUGAGAGGACGAUCAGCCACACCGGAACUGAGACACGGUCCGGACUCCUACGGGAGGCAGCAGUGGGGAAUAUUGGACAAUGGGGGAAACCCUGAUCCAGCAAUGCCGCGUGGGUGAAGAAGGCCUGCGGGUUGUAAAGCCCUUUCGGUGAAGACAAAAAGCGCCGUGCUAAUACCAUGGUGUUUUGAUUUAACUCACUAAAGAAGCACCGGCUAACUCUGUGCCAGCAGCCGCGGUAAUACAGAGGGUGCAAGCGUUAAUCGGAAUUACUGGGCGUAAAGCGCACGUAGGUGGUUUGAUAAGUUGGAUGUGAAAUCCCCGAGCUUAACUUGGGAAUUGCAUUCAAGACUGUCUUACUAGAGUGUGGAAGAGGGAAGCGGAAUUCCAGGUGUAGCGGUGAAAUGCGUAGAUAUCUGGAGGAACAUCAGUGGCGAAGGCGGCUUCCUGGUCCAACACUGACACUGAGGUGCGAAAGCGUGGGGAGCAAACAGGAUUAGAUACCCUAGUAGUCC
rnacentral:rRNA from 1 species